CUCAACCUUUUUCUUUAAUCAUGGAAAUUAGAGAUGGAAAAUACCCAUUAAGUCACUUAGUCUACUUCCCUGCCAGGGUGGAAUUGUUGCCUGUGCUAUGUGCGCGUAGUGCGGCGUCCAGCUUACAUUUAAAUAUCUCGGGGAAAACACAGAGUCCGGAUUCUAUAGUUUACCUUUUCCCCUUAACACUCAGAGUGAAAAAAAAAAAUAAAAGAAAACAGGAAACUUCCUCGCCUACUUAUGGAUUGGAGGUGCUCUGGUUGAUUCAGUAAGCUGCACUGACCCACCUCGUUGAAGUGUGUGAGCUCAAGAAUGGGACACUGCCUCUCUUAUUCUGGUGAGUGACCUCUCUUAUUCUGGUUGAGCUCUUUUCAUACUUUGAGCAUACAACACUUGGGGAGAUGAGAAGUGUGUGUUACACAGAAAGUCCUCCCCCUUCUGGUGUUCAGCCACAGAAGCAAGGCUCUCUGUCAGCAUCUGCCCACGUCUAUAGCUGUGGAAGUGAGGUGGGGAAGUAGCAACACGGACCGUCUCCCUAAUGAUAACUGUACUGGAGAACACAGCAGUGGCCAGAAUGAAGCUUCAAAAAGGGAAAUGCUGACCCACUAUGAGAUCAACAUUUGGGGCUUGAUUCAGAGGAUUUCUUUUAGAAUGCUGAGUUCACCAGUGAGAUUGCAUUUAUAUAAAUCCAGUGGGCAAAUAUUUAAAAUUCUGCUCCAGAUGCGUGAGAAUGUGAUUGAUUAUUCAUACCACAAGAUGGAACUCCUCCUGCCUUCAACCACGGCUGUUUUCAUGAAAUCACCAGCUACCUUAAUGCACUUGAAGGAGGAUCAGCUUUGUAAAAAAAAUAAAUAAAUAAAAAUGCAUAUUUGUGAUGCCAA